UUAAGAAGAAAAAGAAAGUGGUUUCAAAGAACAAUGAUGAAGAAAAGCUGGCAAGAGCUAUAUAGAAGGAAAUGAAAGAGAAGACCACAAUGGCUUCACAAGAAGAAGAAUGUAUUUUGAGUCCUGAGAGUGAAGAUGAUGAUGAAGUAAUGGACAAGAGCAUGCAUAUUGCAUUGGUAACUUUGUGGCCAGGGGUGGCCAUAACAGUUUGGCAAAAGAGGUUACUAAAUGCAAAAAAACAAAUGUUAAAGAAUACACAAACACCCUGCUGUGGAUGAUUCUCACACCAGAAGUGCUACAAUCAUCUUCCCUCACUGGAAAGAAAAGCAACGCUUUUAAAGAUGUGAGAGCCAAAAAGAAGCUGCCUGGUGUAGAGUUCAUAAUUGAUUAUAUCAAAGAACAGACCCGUUCUCCUGAUGUUCAACCAGUCAAAACGGCCAUCACUCACCUCUUGAACACCGAAGGCAAACGCUUGCUGAAGAAGUGUGAUACCGCUGAUUAAAGGCUUGCCCUAAAGUUAAUGUUC